AGCCACUCUAAAAAAAAAANAAAAAAAAAAAAAAAAAAAAACAGCUGAUACCUGCAUAAUGCCUGGCUCUUUGUAUUUUCACUUUGACAUCUGUUUUAGCCAAUCAAUUUUUCAUUGAAGCCAAAAUGCUGCUUUAAAAUUUGCCUUGGCUUUCUCCUUUUAAGACAAGAACAAAUUUAUGAAGAAAAUACUCCUUUACAAAACGCAAUGCCGGCUCCCCAAGCUGUGUGGAUCUUAAUAAGUGGCAUAGUUUUGAAGACUCGCUUUGAAUAGUCUAGAUAUUAAGACGGAUGAUUUAAAGAAUCCACGGAACUUAUUUUCAGAGCGCAUUUACAUGUCUUUCAAACAGAUUUUUUUAUUAUGACGUGUCCAAGAUGAGCUUGCAGAGAUUUAGCUUCGUUUAAGAAGAGCAGCGCCCAAGUACAGAAUUGAAAUUAGUUGAAAACACACAUCUGCAUUUUAAACUUUAAGCUCGCUUUCAAAAUACCCUGUGCAAUCCAUGUUUACUAUAAAUACGGCGAGGCUCAGUCUGCAUGCAAAGAGUGGGGGCCACCUGAUGGUCUGAACAAACUGGGAAGGAAACCAGGCAUUUCUCCAGAGCAGGAAAACUCUCUGGAGAGGAUGGGUGAGGAACAGUUCUGAUUCCAGAAAAAACUUCUCCAGUUACUCAGUGUAUCCUGACUGCAGGGGUGAAUCAGUCCUAUCACAGAAGACUUGUGGAAAAAAGGCAGGUCAACAAUAGAAAGCAAUUUUCUAAAUGUAUAGGAUCUCAG
rnacentral:lncRNA from 1 species